AGCUACAAGGAUUGGUUUGGAAGGCCAAAAACCUCAGCUGACCCUAAUUGUUAUUCCGUGACAUCUUAUCUACUUAAGCAGCUAACCCAUGAGGCAUCCAAAACAGAGAGAAAAAACAGAGUGAACAUUUUGCCUUAUGGAAUUGUCAAAAGUUGCGGUCGAAACACAGGAGCAGAUGAAAUGUCAUGAUUGGUGUCCAGGCUAGUGGACUGAGUUAACUCCCGAGAGUCCCUGUACUCUCCAGCAUGGCACGAGGAGAAGCAAACCAUUUUCCUAUGCAGCCAUAGGAAAACGGUACAAACACGACACUGAAAUUCAGCUGACCGCAAGAGCUUGAUGGUCAGUGUGAGCCAGAUGGAGCAGGAACAUGUAUGGAUGGAAAACCCAGAUCCAAAGUUCAUCCCCCUCUCCCGUGGAUGCUCCAGCACAUUGCAAGGUUUCCCAGAAACUUAGAGGCAACCUUGGCACAAGGACAUGAUUUGUUGGAAAUUAAGUUUUGUCACCUGGGGGACUGCGA
rnacentral:lncRNA from 1 species